GAUGAACGCUGGCGGCGUGCCUAAUACAUGCAAGUCGAACGCUGGAGAUCUAGCUUGCUAGAUCGAAGGAGUGGCGAACGGGUGAGUAAUACAUAAGCAACCUACCCACGAAGACUGGGAUAAUCUCUGGAAGCGGGGACUAAUACCGGAUAGGUAAUCGGAAGGCAUCUUCUGGUUAUUAAAGGUUAAAAACACUGGUGGAUGGGCUUAUGGCGCAUUAGUUAGUUGGUGAGGUAACGGCCCACCAAGACGAUGAUGCGUAGCCGGCCUGAGAGGGUGAACGGCCACAUUGGGACUGAGACACGGCCCAGACUCCUACGGGAGGCAGCAGUAGGGAAUUUUCGGCAAUGGGGGCAACCCUGACCGAGCAACGCCGCGUGAGUGAAGACGGCCUUCGGGUUGUAAAGCUCUGUUGUAAGGGAAGAACGGUAGAUAGAGAAUAUCUAAGUGACGGUACCUUACCAGAAAGCCACGGCUAACUACGU
rnacentral:rRNA from 1 species